rnacentral:tRNA from 1 species
AGGAUAAUAGUUAAUUAUAACAUUUAAUUUGCAUUUAAAAAGUACUGUUUACAGUUUAUCUUA